AACGAACGCUGGCGGCAGGCUUAACACAUGCAAGUCGAACGAGGUCUUCGGAUCUAGUGGCAGACGGGUGAGGAACACGUGGGAACAUCCCUUUCAGUUCGGAAUAACGUUGGGAAACUAACGCUAAUACCGGAUACGUCCUUCGGGAGAAAGAUUUAUCGCUGAAAGAUUGGCCCGCGUCUGAUUAGCUAGUUGGUGAGGUAAUGGCUCACCAAGGCUACGAUCAGUAGCUGAUCUGAGAGGAUGAUCAGCCACAUUGGGACUGAGACACGGCCCAAACUCCUACAGGAGGCAGCAGUGGGGAAUAUUGGACAAUGGGCGCAAGCCUGAUCCAGCCAUGCCGCGUGAGUGAUGACGGCCUUCGGGUUGUAAAGCUCUUUUGUCCGGGAAGAUAAUGACUGUACCGGAAGAAUAAGCCCCGGCAAACUUCGUGCCAGCAGCCGCAGUAA
rnacentral:rRNA from 1 species